rnacentral:rRNA from 1 species
CCUACGGGAGGCAGCAGUAGGGAAUAUUGCUCAAUGGGGGAAACCCUGAAGCAGCAACGCCGCGUGGAGGAUGAAGGUUUUCGGAUUGUAAACUCCUUUUGUUAGAGAAGAUAAUGACGGUAUCUAACGAAUAAGCACCUGCUAACUCCGUGCCAGCAGCCGCGGUAAUACGGAGGGUGCAAGCGUUACUCGGAAUCACUGGGCGUAAAGAGCGCGUAGGCGGGAUAGCAAGUCAGAUGUGAAAUCCUAUGGCUUAACCAUAGAACUGCAUUUGAAACUGUUAUUCUAGAGUAUGGGAGAGGUAGGUGGAAUUCUUGGUGUAGGGGUAGAAUGCGUAGAGAUCAAGAGGAAUACUCAUUGCGAAGGCGACCUGCUAGAACAUAACUGACGCUGAUGCGCGAAAGCGUGGGGAGCAAACAGGAUUAGAUACCCCAGUAGUC